UGACAGCGAAGGAAAAAAUAGCAUUGAUUUUGCGGUUUUUGGAUACACGAAGGGUCAUUAAGAUUUCAUAUGAAACACGCUGGUUGUUUGACAAAGGUUUUGUAGUUUUAGAAGUAGAAGUGAAAGAAUGCAAGGUGCAUUUAGUAUUUCCAGAUGGUGCUAAUUCAAGGUUCUAUAAUAGCAUUGCUCCUUCUGCCCUUUCGGGAUCGUCGAAUUCAUAUUUCCAUCGUCGAUUUCAUGCUUAUAUGGAAAAGAAAAGGGACAUGAGAAAGUUUAGUCCUGUGCAUAUAUUCCGACGACCCAAUCGACCCGACUCAAUCGCCCUGACCCAACUCCAGAUAUAUCUGGAUUAUGUAAAUCAGCUUUUAUAUUUGGGCGUUAAACAGACUGAACUAUAAAUUUGUUCUUACCUUUGAGUUGUCUCGAACCCCAGCAUUCCAAGUCCAACUCGACGGCGUCGCCAUUCACAGUCGCCGUCCCGUUAGCGCACUUUUAGGUAUAGCGGAUUCGGAUCAUCUCCGAUCAUCUCCUUCGCGAUCACCAUUUUGUUGGCUGGGAUGGACGUGGGGAAGCAGUUUGCGCCAAGGAGGAUCUGGAACUUUUUCACUUGGCAGAGUGAUUGGAUGGCGGUGAUGUUGGUGGUGUUCAAGCACGGUUUACAUAAGUUGAUCUUUGCGAUCCGAAUCUCACACCUAAUCUUUGAGUGCUCCCCUUUGAUUUGAUUUUCUUUUCCUUUUAGUUCAUGCAUUUACCUUUUAUUCAAAACCUCAUCUGAGUAUUUGGACUUUGGAAUUGUUUCUUUCGGAUUUAUGCUGUUUUUUUAAGCUUUAAUUCCGUACCACCCACAUUGCUGUUGUAUCAUAUAGGAUCCGUGAUGUUGGAUUGGUUGCGCUUUUCUUUCUUUUUGAAACAUGUUUAGGAAAAAAAGUGAAUGUAACUUAUUUGCUGUCGAUGACUCAAGAAGAGAGAGCUAGGUAGCAGGGGAUGUGUGUAUUUCUCAUGCUGUCAAACAUUUCGUUACUACAUCCUUUUAAUACUAAUGAGAAAUGCUAUAUCUGUAUGAUGUUGCAGUUGGUGGAUUGUUUAAACUGGAGGGUACAGAAUGAGACUGACAACAUCUUAGCAAUAAGUUUGUAUUAUGCCCAGGAUCACAUUUUUCAUUCACUUGACAACAUCAAGUUCUUUAUUGGGAUUGGGGGGGAAUGGGAUUGGGAUUGAGAUCGGAUAUGUCUGGGGUUCUAUCCAUUGAAUGCAUGCCUGGAGAGUGGAGUCCCCACUCAUUGUACCCAGUUGUUGCGGCACUUUAAAUUAAGGUUGCCAAGCCUUUAAGAUCUUUAUUAAUGCAUGUCAGUUGUUACAGAGGCCUUUUAUGGGUAGGACUCGGUAUUUGUUUUUCAUUUUUUGUUCUUUUUGUUGGGUCAGAGGCAGUGGAAAUGUAGUAAGUUUGAGUUUUGAUUUCGUUAGAUAUGCUUGAAUUAAGUUGUAUUGACAUGUGUAGAAGCAAAUGAUCAAAAGCAAAAUAUGAUCUUCGAGGAUUUUUAACUCAUAUUUAGGCAACCUCUAACUCAUGUAGUUUAGGGUCUAAAGUAUUUUUUAAAUCGGACUGUGUGUUUUAUUAAGUUGAUUGCUUUUGUGUGUGGCAAAGCUUGAAGUGUGUACCUGGGUUCAUUGUUAAAGCAGAGGAGUUAAAGUCAAAGAGCAUUGACGAUAUUCUCUUGAUUAGAGCAAUUUAAUGUGAGUCUAUCUUCACAAUAGCUAUAUAAAGCCAAUGAAAAUAGUUGCGUAGUUGUCUUUCUCAGUGGGGGUUCUGCACUAAUCAACACUUAAAUCUUAUUAUAUCUACAUUUUGGUCAGGCAGCCCAACUUAUUUUUGAGCCUGAUUCUAGUUUAAUGCUUGCUGUUAUGGAAGCUUCACUUACUUUUUUUUCUUUUAAGCUUUAAAAUCCUCACCAUUUACCAAAAAGGCUUUUUGUUUGUUCUCUUUGUGCUCCAAUUUGUGUGGAGCAACUUCUAUAUAGCUUUUUAUUCUGAAACAGUACUUGUUCAUGAAAUUCUUAAGAUGGAAAACAAUAGCUAUUUUUUUCUUCUUCUUUCUGCUGGUGUUUAGUUUAUUGUGCAUUAGACUUUCUGUGUUCUAUAGUUUCUUCUGCUUCAAAGUAUCACAAUGUGUGCAUCUUAAUUUGCAAAAUACUUCUAUUAGGAAUUAGCUUUCUGGUAUUAAGUUAUCUCUUGAAGAGGAUUGGAAGGUACUGCAUGAAAUCAAGAUCCCCUGAAAUUCUUAUGGAAGCAAAACAUUUGUAUUUAAUUUCCAGAACUAGUGGUUUUCUUUUCUUUUCUCUCCAAAUGAGAAUAAUUAGAAUUGAUUCUAUGCCAAUUACGUGUUAUUUUGCUUGAGCAGGUGGUUAUAACUUGUUAAGUUAUAACUUGUUUCUACCUCUGAUAAAGGGAUACUAUACCUCUAAUAAAGGGAAAAUAGUACCUUUGAAAGGAAGUACUGAAGUGGCAGACAUGGUAUUGUUGUUAUGUCUUUGAAAUGAGGGAAAAUCAACAAUUUUGAGUGCAAGUUGCCAAAGUAUCUUAUAGUUAUUUUGUAUGGUUCCUAGAGCAGCAAAACAUUAAAUAAAUCAACAUUUGUUGUGCUGUGGAUGUUCUGUUAUUUGGUGCUUUGAGAUUAUGAAGUAGUUGCCAUACUGAACUAAUUAUUCUCUUCACUCUAAAGGAAAAUUUUCAUGUUGAUUCUUUCCUCUCUCUUUCUUUCUUUUCUUUUCUUUUCUUUUCUUUUUCUUUUUCCUUUUCCUUUUUUUUUUUUUUUUUUUUUUUUUUCCUUGAUUCAAAGGGUUUACCAACUUUCUAUUGUCACAGUUACAAGUUUCUGUUUGGGCAUCUUUCAUUUUCUCUUAAUUUUUCUUUGGCCAGGUAGAAGAUAUAAACGUUUUAUACGAGGAAUACUUAGGCCUCGUUUGGGUUGAAGAAUGUUCAUAUCUCAUCCAAUCUCAUCUCAAUAUGUAAACAUCACAAACAUAAAUACGUGUACCACUGCACACUAGUCUAUCAUACGUGUACUAUUUAUUUAAACGGUGUGUUUUAAUUUAGGCGGGAACGGAUUUUAGAAGGAUGGGAGAAGCCGAAACGUCCAAUUUUUUGGGGCACUUCCAUCUCUCUCUCUCUCCUCUCCAUUCUCUUCUCCUAUCCCUUCGUUCCUUCUCUCUCUCCAUUCUCUGCAAUUCUCUUCUCCUCUCUUGUCGAUACUCAUGCUCUCCUCUCCUAGUUUUUACUUACAGGCGGAACUUGCCGUGAGGCUCUUGGAUGGAGGAUCCAAAUGGGAGGUAGUCCUCGAUGUUGGGUUGACCAAAUCCAGCUCGGAGGUUAACGAGGGAGAAGCGAAUGUGAAUUUUUCAUUUGGGCAGAUAUACUUCACUUACUAGUGGAGAACAUUUGUACAAAAGAGAGUAAAGUUUGAAAAAUGUGGGAUGAUGUACUCAUGCGCAAGUUGGAAGUUCGGAAAAGGGAAGAUAAAUUACGAGAGAGAUAAAUUAUUAUGUUUGUACAGGGUUGUCACAUUUGCAAUAGGUCUGGCUUGUUUCGGAUAAAUUGUAUGUAAAUAGCACGUUGUAUAGAGUAGAUCAUUUUUUAAUGUAUCAACUGUAAUGGUACUCAAGUGUUUUGGUUAUGAUGUACAAAAGGGGUAUCUAUAAAUUCAUUAAAUUAACAUUUUUAAUGAAAAGUUAUGUAAUGAAAA